UACGGAGGGAGCUAGCGUUGUUCGGAAUUACUGGGCGUAAAGCGCACGUAGGCGGCUUUGUAAGUUAGAGGUGAAAGCCCGGGGCUCAACUCCGGAACUGCCUUUGAUACUGGUGAGCUUGAGUCCGGAAGAGGUGAGUGGAACUGCGAGUGUAGAGGUGAAAUUCGUAGAUAUUCGCAAGAACACCAGUGGCGAAGGCGGCUCACUGGUCCGGUACUGACGCUGAGGUGCGAAAGCGUGGGGAGCAAACAGG
rnacentral:rRNA from 1 species